rnacentral:rRNA from 1 species
AUCAUUCGGGCUCCUGACUCUACAUCAUCAUUACCGAGUGCGGGUCUUUAUGGCCCAACCUCCCACCCGUGACUAUUGUACCUUGUUGCUUCGGCGGGCCCGCCAGCGUUGCUGGCCGCCGGGGGGCGACUCGCCCCCGGGCCCGUGCCCGCCGGAGACCCCAACAUGAACCCUGUUCUGAAAGCUUGCAGUCUGAGUGUGAUUCUUUGCAAUCAGUUAAAACUUUCAACAAUGGAUCUCUUGGUUCCGGCAUCGAUGAAGAACGCAGCGAAAUGCGAUAACUAAUGUGAAUUGCAGAAUUCAGUGAAUCAUCGAGUCUUUGAACGCACAUUGCGCCCCCUGGUAUUCCGGGGGGCAUGCCUGUCCGAGCGUCAUUGCUGCCCUCAAGCCCGGCUUGUGUGUUGGGCCCUCGUCCCCCGGCUCCCGGGGGACGGGCCCGAAAGGCAGCGGCGGCACCGCGUCCGGUCCUCGAGCGUAUGGGGCUUCGUCUUCCGCUCCGUAGGCCCGGCCGGCGCCCGCCGACGCAUUUAUUUGCAACUUGUUUUUUUCCAGGUUGACCUCGGAUCAGGUAGGGAUACCCGCUGAACUUAAGCAUAUCAAUAAGCGGAGGAAAAGAAACCAACCGGGAUUGCCUCAGUAACGGCGAGUGAAGCGGCAAGAGCUCAAAUUUGAAAGCUGGCUCCUUCGGGGUCCGCAUUGUAAUUUGCAGAGGAUGCUUCGGGUGCAGCCCCCGUCUAAGUGCCCUGGAACGGGCCGUCAUAGAGGGUGAGAAUCCCGUAUGGGGCGGGGUGUCUGCGUCCGUGUGAAGCUCCUUCGACGAGUCGAGUUGUUUGGGAAUGCAGCUCUAAAUGGGUGGUAAAUUUCAUCUAAAGCUAAAUACUGGCCGGAGACCGAUAGCGCACAAGUAGAGUGAUCGAAAGAUGAAAAGCACUUUGAAAAGAGAGUUAAACAGCACGUGAAAUUGUUGAAAGGGAAGCGCUUGCAACCAGACUCGCUCGCGGGGUUCAGCCGGGCUUCGGCCCGGUGUACUUCCCCGCGGGCGGGCCAGCGUCGGUUUGGGCGGCCGGUCAAAGGCCUCCGGAAUGUAGCGCCCUUCGGGGCGCAUUAUAGCCGGGGGUGCAAUGCGGCCAGCCUGGACCGAGGAACGCGCUUCGCACGUCGCUGCAAAAGGUACACCCGGAAAAACGGC